CUUACACUUAUCAUGUGUCCUCUAUCAAUUGCGAUACAGCGACGAAGCCCAUUGAGAAGGGUCCUGCUUUUUUCUUCGCGAAGGAAAGUCAACGUUUUGGAUAAGCGCACCGCUGACGUCAUGCGUCGCUGCAAUAUGGAGCCCGAAAGCGUUAAUGGAGAAGUUAACCGAACAGGGUACAGGCGCAUAGGCGCGACUUCUGCGGCUCUGAGGUGCUUGUUCUGGACAAGGUUGCAGGGGAUUGGACCCCAUCCCAGGCUGCACCAGGCGGGGGUACAUGCUGGCUGAAAGAGUAGUACGAUGCAUGGCACAUACACUAUUCAGAGAUGCCUCAUAGACUAACUGUUUGUCUGUAGAUUGGGGGGACCAGAGUAGAUGUGGGACUUGAACCCACAACCCCGUAGGGGUGAAGUUGCAGGGCUAUCUAUUGAGCCUUCCCACAAACAUAAUAUAUAUGGUUUCAGCUCUUGCCUUUCGCUAAUGAUCUAGCUAUUUCUAAGGUAAUUGUCUUGUUUUCAAUGUCCUCUCUGUUCUACUUGUCAUACAUUAAAAGGA